UGGGGAUCUUAGGAAUAUCUGCCCACACCAAGAAAUGGCAAAAUGACUUUGCCUUGAGAAAACCCGCACCCUUGGAAAGAAAAAGAGAAAGAAUUGGCUUGGAAGCAAAGAGAGAAAGGAAGAAAAGAGAAAGAAAGAAAGGAGAAAAAAGAAAAAGAUAUGGAAGGUUUGCCCUAGUGGUUCCAAGCUAAGGAAGGAAGUAGAAAUUUGAUUUUAGUUAUGAAUUUCUUGAAGAAAUGAGUUGGUAAUUGUGUGAAAAUGUUGUGGCAGCAAAGGGCUUCCAAGAAUUGAAGGAAAUAGAUGCAUGGUUACAGGUGGAUCUUGGAAUGUAUGGUGAUUUUGAGCUAGAUAAGCAAUGGGUAAGUAUUUUGGCCUUGAAAUCACAAGUAAAGAAGAGAAAUGAGAUAUGCGCUAAUUGUUUAUGUUUGUGGCAACAACGAUGACCAUGGAUGGGAGGAAAUUGUGAACCAUAUGUGGAAAUCAAGCUAAAACCGAGAGGAAAGUUUGUCGUAGUGGUGUGCUAGAGGAGAUAACGAGUGAUCGACAAGAAGAGUUAGCUAGAUACGCACUUGAAUCAAUAGUGUUGUAGCGUCCUGCUAUUAUAAGAUAAGUUAUCAGCUCAAGUACAUUGCUCAGCACCUCGAGACUUGCUGCAACAUAAGUAAUGGCAUUUCUUAGAGUUGCACUUCAAGUCGCUCCACUGCAUAGAUGUUGUGUUGUGUAAAAUAAUUAGACUUAUAAAGAUUAUCAGUUUAUUGAAAAUGUAUUUUUUGAAAAACUUUAAGGUUGUGUAUUGGAUGUUAAGUGUGAAGUUGGGACACAUGAGGAUAUUGUAACUAGUUGAUAUACUUUAAUUGUAAUUGUUUAUUUGGUUUAUGUAAACAAAAGUAUU